UACGGGGGGGGCAAGCGUUGUUCGGAAUUACUGGGCGUAAAGGGCUCGUAGGUGGCCAACUAAGUCAGACGUGAAAUCCCUCAGCUUAACUGGGGAACUGCGUCUGAUACUGGAUGGCUUGAGUUUGGGAGAGGGAUGCGGAAUUCCAGGUGUAGCGGUGAAAUGCGUAGAUAUUGGGAAGAACACCGGUGGCGAAGGCGGCGACCUGGUCCUUGACUGACGCUGAGGCGCGAAAGCGUGGGGAGCAAACAGG
rnacentral:rRNA from 1 species